GAAUAAUUAGCUCAACUGGUAGAGUAUUUCGUUUACACCGAAAAUGUUAGCGGUUCGAGUCCGUUAUUAUUCA
rnacentral:tRNA from 1 species